rnacentral:rRNA from 1 species
UACGGAAGGGGCAAGCGUUGUUCGGAAUCAUUGGGCGUAAAGGGCGCGUAGGUGGUUCUGUAUGUCUACCGUGAAAGCGUACGGCUCAACCGUAUUUUGUCGGUAGAAACUGCAGGACUUGAGGCUGGGAGGGGCUGGUGGAAUUCCCUGUGUAGCGGUGAAAUGCGUAGAGAUCAGGAAGAACAUCGGUGGCGAAGGCGCUCUGCUGGACCAUAACUGACACUCAGGGACGAAAGCUAGGGGAGCGAAUGGG